UACGAAGGGUGCGAGCGUUGUUCGGAAUUAUUGGGCGUAAAGGGUUCGUAGGCGGGAGAGCAAGUUGAGUGUGAAAACCCCGGGCUUAACCUGGGACGUGCAUUCAAGACUGUUUUUCUUGAGUGUGGGAGAGGGUGGUGGAAUUGCUGGUGUAGGAGUGACAUCCGUAGAGAUCAGCAGGAACGCCGGAGGCGAAAGCGACCACCUGGUCCAAGACUGACGCUGAGGAACGAAAGCGUGGGGAGCAAAC
rnacentral:rRNA from 1 species